CUGCUGCCUACUGGCAACGUGUACGCCAUUCCCGGCUCUUGCUUUCGGUGCAGCGCUCAGCUUUAUCCUAUUCGUAUUGAUACUGUUUUUUUUUGCAAAGAAAAAUGCAGCGCUCAUUCCUUGCUUUUGUUGUGUGCGCGAUUCUCUUCUGCGUAGCAUCCGCAGAGGUGCAGGUGGCCACCAAGGACAACUUUGACAAGAUCGUAAGCGGGGAUCUAACGUUGGUCAAGUUUUACGCUCCGUGGUGCGGCCACUGCAAGACACUGGCUCCGGAGUUUAUAAAGGCCGCUGACAUGCUGGCCGGGAUCGCGACCCUUGCAGAGGUCGACUGCACCAAAGAGGAGAGCCUCGCUGAGAAGUACCAAAUCAAGGGGUUCCCCACAUUGUACAUCUUCCGUAACGGUGAGAAAGUGAAGGACUACGAUGGCCCCCGCACUGCUGCCGGCAUCGCGUCGUACAUGAAGGCGCAUGUCGGUCCAUCGAUAAAGGCCAUCUCAAAGGCUGAAGAGCUGGAGGAACUCAAGAAGGAGACUUUCCCGGUGUGUGUGGUGAAAACAGCGAGCGCCGACUCGGAGAUGGCGUCGAUGAUAACCAAGGUGGCGGACUCUCUCCGCACGCAGAUGAACUUUGUGCUCGUGACGGAUGCAGCCAUAUCUCCGAAUGAUGCCAUGGAGUCGGUUACGGUGUAUCGCAAGAAUGCGGAGCGCGAGGCGUACACCGGCGCUGCGCCGAUGACGGCGGAGUCGGUGAAGCGCUUUCUCGCGACUGCUGUGUUGGACUACUUUGGCGAGCUGGGCCAGGAGAGCUUUCAGAAGUACAUGGAAGCGAACAAGGGUAAGCCUCUUGGGUGGGUGUUCGUCGACAAGAACACGGAUCCUGCUCUGAAGGGGUCACUCGUGGCGGUGGCGGAGAAGUACCGCUCGCAGGUGUUGCUAACGUUCAUUGACGGCGAUCAGUACCGCCCCGUCUCGCGCCAGCUGGGCAUUCCUGAGGAUGCGAAGUUCCCGGCGUUUGUGGUCGAUUUCGAGCGCCGCCAUCACGUGAUGGAGACGUACACCCCAGUCACCGCCGAGUCUGUCGCUGCGUUUGUGGAGAAGUACAUCAAAGGCGAGACGAAGCAGACCCUGAUGUCCGAUGCGAUUCCUGCUAAGGAGACGGUGAACGGCCUCACGACGGUGGUGGGUCAGACUUUUGCGAAGUACACGGACGGCACACAAAACGUGAUGCUGCUCUUCUACGCGCCGUGGUGCGGGCACUGCCAGAAGCUGCACCCCGUCUACGAGAAAGUGGCCAAGAGUCUCGAGUCCGAGAAUGUGAUCAUUGCAAAGAUGGACGCCACGACGAACGACUUUGACCGCGAGAAGUUUGAGGUGUCCGGGUUUCCAACGAUUUACUUCAUCCCCGCCGGCAAGCCGCCAAUCGUGUACGAGGGAGGCCGCACUGCGGAUGACAUCAAGGCGUUUGUGAAGUCUCACCUGACCGCGUCGGCCGCUCCCUCUGGCGGCCCCUCCGGCAACAGUGACGAGGAAGAUUUGUAGGACUGCAAGGGAUGUGGCGUUUAUAGGCUGCCCUGCCAUCCCUUGCUGUUUCUAUCAAGGAUUAGACUUGUUCGUUAUAUGGGGGGAGGACAAGAGAGUGCUAGCGCUUCUUCUUUUUUCCCUUUCUUUUUGCUUUGCUUUCUUCGUGUUGGCGUCCAUGCAAGCGUUCUGUCGACAGCUCUUUGCCAACCUGCGCCCUAUCUAGCAACAUCGAUGUGAAAAGAGUAGAGAAAGCUAACGAUGCGUGCGCUGACGGCCGUUUUCAUGGGCACAAUUUUGAGAAGGAAAAAUUGGAGAAUGGACAGGAUAGUGAAAUUAGCGCUACGACAAGGACGUGCGUCUUUUCUCUGUCGGUCAUUAAAUUUUUGGGCUUUGUAACAAUGAAGG
rnacentral:misc_RNA from 1 species